UGAGAAUGGGGCCUAGAUUGGAUCCGAUUGGAUUUGUGGUGUUGCAGGAACAACCUGGAUGUAAAGGAAUUGGCGAUUCAGUUUGUAUGUGUGAGGCUCAUUCCUUUUGUGAAAAAGGGCUUAUCUAUUUUUAAAGAACGGUUUCUGGCUUCAUUGCCAACUUCUCGGCAUGCAAGUGCUGACUUCACUCGCCCCUUAUUUACUGCAGUGGCAUUUUAUUUGUGUGCCAAAAAGCAUAAGCUCAAGGUACACAAGCUUAAGUUGAUUGAGCUCUGUGGGGCAUCUGAACCUGAAUUCUCUAAUGUAAGGGAGCCUUCCCACCAUGCACAUUAUUGUGUAGCCCACUAUAGUUUUCAUUCUUCUACUCAUCAUAU